rnacentral:lncRNA from 1 species
GUAGGUGCGGAUCUAGGAGCAGGUGCCGGUUCCGGUGUCGGUGCUGUCCUUGGAGCAGGCGUGGGAGCAGGCGUAGGAGAAGGCGCCUGUGGAGCCCUAGGUGCUGGGGUAGGUGCAGAUCUAGGAGCAGGUGUUGGAGCCGUCCAUUGGAGCUGGCGUGGGAGCUGGCGUAGGAGAUGGCGCCUGUGGAGCCCUAGGUGCUGGGGUAGGUGCGGAUGUAGGAGCCGGUGUCGGUGCCGUCAUUGGAGAAGCCGUGGGAGCAGGCGUAGGAGAUGGCGCCUGUGGAGCCAUAGGUGCUGGGGUAGGUGCGGAUUUAGGAGCAGGUGCCGGUGCCGGUGUCGGUGCCGUCCUUGGAGGUGGCGUGGGAGCAGGCGUAGGAGAUGGCGCCUGUGGAGCCCUCUGUGCCGGGGUAGGUGCGGAUCUAGGAGCAGGUGUCGGUGCCGUCCUUGGAGCUGGUGUGGGAGCAGGCGUAGGAGAUGGCGCCUGUGGAGCCCUAGGUGCCGGCGUAGGUGCGGAUCUAGGAGCAGGUGUCGGUGCCGAUAUCGGUGCCGUCCUUGGAGCUGGCGUAGGAGAUGGCGCCUGUGGAGCCCUAGGUGCUGGGGUAGGUGCGGAUCUAGGAGCAAGUGUCGGUGCCGUCCUUGGAGCUGGCAUGGGAGCAGGCGUAGGAGAUGGCGCCUGUGGAGCCCUAGGUGCUGGGGUAGGUGCGGAUCUAGGAGCAGGUGUUGGUGCCGUCCUUGGAGCUGGCGUGGGAGCUGGCGUGGGAGCAGGCGUAGGAGAUGGCGCCUGUGGAGCCCUAGGAGCUGGGGUAGGUGAGGAUCUAGGAGCAGGUGUUGGUGUCGUUGUCGGUGCCGUCCUUGGAGGUGGCAUUGGCGCAGGCGUCGGAGAUGGCGCCUGUGGAGCCCUAGGUGCUGGGGUAGGUGCGGAUCUAGGAGCAGGUGUUGGUGCCGUCCUUGGAGCUGGCGUGGGCGCAGGUGUAGGAGAUAGCGCCUGUGGAGCCCUAGGGGCUGGGGUAGGUGCCGAUCUAGGAGCAGGAGUGGGUGCAGAUCUCGGAGCUGGUGAUGGUGCAAUCCUAGGAGCUGGCGUGGGAGCAGACCUUGGGGGUGAUCGCUUGGCCUGCGAAGAUGGCACAAGCACGAGUGCCACGACCAGGAGCAGGAGCCCAGGGUAAGUUAUAGACCUGGACGCCAUUGCUAGCCGCGGAUGC